rnacentral:lncRNA from 1 species
AUGGUCAGGUUGGCUGAACCACACUUAGAUCUGAUCACUCGUUUGUUAGAUACACUAAAUUCUGGCAUAUUAAUGGUUGGACCUAACCAGAACCUUCAAUGGAGGUGCCACACGCUUGCUGAAUAGGUGUCUAAGGCAAAAUUGAACACUAAAAAUUAUUUGAUGAAAUAAUUGAUUAAGAACCUAUCCGUGGAUACACAAGGGUCGGUCGAGCCAUACUCGGGCCCAUGUGCAGUCUAUGUGGAUUCUAGUACCCACUAAGAAAUUAGUGUAAUUCUUCGAAUUGAAGGUAGAGACUAUCAAUUCGAAUAAACUAGUGAGAGAACCUUUAGACUCAAAUCUAUAUCUUUAAGCUUAAUCAAUUCAUAUACUAAUUAG